rnacentral:rRNA from 1 species
AUUGAACGCUGGCGGCAGGCCUAACACAUGCAAGUCGAGCGGAUGAAGGGAGCUUGCUCCUGGAUUCAGCGGCGGACGGGUGAGUAAUGCCUAGGAAUCUGCCUGGUAGUGGGGGAUAACGUCCGGAAACGGGCGCUAAUACCGCAUACGUCCUGAGGGAGAAAGUGGGGGAUCUUCGGACCUCACGCUAUCAGAUGAGCCUAGGUCGGAUUAGCUAGUUGGUGGGGUAAAGGCCUACCAAGGCGACGAUCCGUAACUGGUCUGAGAGGAUGAUCAGUCACACUGGAACUGAGACACGGUCCAGACUCCGACGGGAGGCAGCAGUGGGGAAUAUUGGAAGAUGGGCGAAAGCCUGAUCCAGCCAUGCCGCGUGUGUGAAGAAGGGCUUCGGAUUGUAAAGCACUUUAAGUUGGGAGGAAGGGCAGUAAGUUAAUACCUUGCUGUUUUGACGGUACCAACAGAAUAAGCACCGGCUAACUUCGUG